GGUGUAGCUCAGUGGUAGAGCACUUGCUUAGCAUGAGUGUGGGACUGGGUUCAAUUCCCAGCACC
rnacentral:tRNA from 1 species